GACAACUGGCUUGUGGCGGCCAAGCGUUCAUAGCGACUUCGCUUCAAUGUCGGCUCUUCCUAUCAUUGAGAAGCAAAAUUCACCAAGUGUUGGAUUGUUCUCCCACUAAAAGGGAACGUGAGCUGAGACAGGUU
rnacentral:ncRNA from 1 species